rnacentral:pre_miRNA from 15 species
CUGCCCAGCGCCCGCCCGAUACCGGGGUGCAGGGCUUAGCUCACCUGUGAACAGAGUUCGCAUCCGUAUCGUGUUCACAGUGGCUAAGUUCCGCCCCCCGGGGUCCGUUCCCUGGGGCUCGGAA